UACGGGGGGGGCAAGCGUUGUUCGGAAUUACUGGGCGUAAAGGGCGCGUAGGCGGUUGGAUAAGUCAGCUGUGAAAACCACGGGCUUAACUCGUGGCCUGCAGUUGAGACUGUCUGGCUUGAGUGUGGGAGAGGAGAGUGGAAUUCCUGGUGUAGCAGUGAAAUGCGUAGAGAUCGUAAGGAAGACCAGUGGCGAAGGCGGGUCUCUGGACAGUUCCUGACACUGAG
rnacentral:rRNA from 1 species